rnacentral:misc_RNA from 1 species
UACAGAGGGUGCAAGCGUUGUUCGGAAUCACUGGGCGUAAAGAGUUCGUAGGCGGACCAAUUAGUAUGGGGUUAAAUACCGGGGCCCAACCUCGGAUAUGCUCUGUAAACGGUUGGUCUAGAGUACUGGAGAGGAUAGUAGAAUUCCUGGUGUAGAGGUGAAAUUCGUAGAUAUCAGGAGGAAUACCAGAGGCGAAGGCGACUAUCUGGCCAGGCACUGACGCUAAAGAACGAAAGCGUGGGGAGCAAACAGG